CUCUCUUCGGGGACAUUUGGAAAAAUCGGAACAAUACAAAGAAGAUUAGGCAUGGCCCCUGUGCAAGGAUGAUGCACAAAUUGGGAAAACGUGGAAAUGCAAUAUUUU